AGCCUCCUGCGCCCCGCCGAGCUGGCGGAUGGAGCUGCGCAGCGGGAGCGUGGGCAGCCAGGCGGUGGCGCGGAGGAUGGAUGGGGACAGCCGAGAUGGCGGCGGCGGCAAGGACGCCACCGGGUCGGAGGACUACGAGAACCUGCCGACCAGCGCCUCCGUGUCCACCCACAUGACAGCCGGAGCGAUGGCCGGGAUCCUGGAGCACUCGGUCAUGUACCCGGUGGACUCGGUGAAGGUAAUGUGGACUGUGGAACUCUGUGCUGGUCACUUUCAACCCUGAACCUGAUGCUACUUAUUUUGCAGUUCUAACUGCAAAGUUGGCCUGGUGGAUGCUUCCCAUUACAAUACUAAAUUUGCUUCUUCAUGAGGUCACACCUCACAUCCCUAGUGUCACUUUAAUAACUAGUGUUUUUUACAUGGUGGGCCGUGACCCAUUAGUGGGCUCUGCAUUUAAAAAUAAAUAAAUAAAUAAAAUA
rnacentral:sRNA from 1 species